rnacentral:rRNA from 1 species
GGUUAAGCGACUAAGCGUACACGGUGGAUGCCCUGGCAGUCAGAGGCGAUGAAGGACGUGCUAAUCUGCGAUAAGCGUCGGUAAGGUGAUAUGAACCGUUAUAACCGGCGAUUUCCGAAUGGGGAAACCCAGUGUGUUUCGACACACUAUCAUUAACUGAAUCCAUAGGUUAAUGAGGCGAACCGGGGGAACUGAAACAUCUAAGUACCCCGAGGAAAAGAAAUCAACCGAGAUUCCCCCAGUAGCGGCGAGCGAACGGGGAGCAGCCCAGAGCCUGAAUCAGUGUGUGUGUUAGUGGAAGCGUCUGGAAAGGCGCGCGAUACAGGGUGACAGCCCCGUACACAAAAAUGCACAUACUGUGAGCUCGAUGAGUAGGGCGGGACACGUGGUAUCCUGUCUGAAUAUGGGGGGACCAUCCUCCAAGGCUAAAUACUCCUGACUGACCGAUAGUGAACCAGUACCGUGAGGGAAAGGCGAAAAGAACCCCGGCGAGGGGAGUGAAAAAGAACCUGAAACCGUGUACGUACAAGCAGUGGGAGCCUCUUAAUGGGGUGACUGCGUACCUUUUGUAUAAUGGGUCAGCGACUUAUAUUCUGUAGCAAGGUUAACCGAAUAGGGGAGCCGAAGGGAAACCGAGUCUUAACUGGGCGUUAAGUUGCAGGGUAUAGACCCGAAACCCGGUGAUCUAGCCAUGGGCAGGUUGAAGGUUGGGUAACACUAACUGGAGGACCGAACCGACUAAUGUUGAAAAAUUAGCGGAUGACUUGUGGCUGGGGGUGAAAGGCCAAUCAAACCGGGAGAUAGCUGGUUCUCCCCGAAAGCUAUUUAGGUAGCGCCUCGUGAAUUCAUCUCCGGGGGUAGAGCACUGUUUCGGCAAGGGGGUCAUCCCGACUUACCAACCCGAUGCAAACUGCGAAUACCGGAGAAUGUUAUCACGGGAGACACACGGCGGGUGCUAACGUCCGUCGUGAAGAGGGAAACAACCCAGACCGCCAGCUAAGGUCCCAAAGUCAUGGUUAAGUGGGAAACGAUGUGGGAAGGCCCAGACAGCCAGGAUGUUGGCUUAGAAGCAGCCAUCAUUUAAAGAAAGCGUAAUAGCUCACUGGUCGAGUCGGCCUGCGCGGAAGAUGUAACGGGGCUAAACCAUGCACCGAAGCUGCGGCAGCGACACUAUGUGUUGUUGGGUAGGGGAGCGUUCUGUAAGCCUGUGAAGGUGUACUGUGAGGUAUGCUGGAGGUAUCAGAAGUGCGAAUGCUGACAUAAGUAACGAUAAAGCGGGUGAAAAGCCCGCUCGCCGGAAGACCAAGGGUUCCUGUCCAACGUUAAUCGGGGCAGGGUGAGUCGACCCCUAAGGCGAGGCCGAAAGGCGUAGUCGAUGGGAAACAGGUUAAUAUUCCUGUACUUGGUGUUACUGCGAAGGGGGGACGGAGAAGGCUAUGUUGGCCGGGCGACGGUUGUCCCGGUUUAAGCGUGUAGGCUGGUUUUCCAGGCAAAUCCGGAAAAUCAAGGCUGAGGCGUGAUGACGAGGCACUACGGUGCUGAAGCAACAAAUGCCCUGCUUCCAGGAAAAGCCUCUAAGCAUCAGGUAACAUCAAAUCGUACCCCAAACCGACACAGGUGGUCAGGUAGAGAAUACCAAGGCGCUUGAGAGAACUCGGGUGAAGGAACUAGGCAAAAUGGUGCCGUAACUUCGGGAGAAGGCACGCUGAUAUGUAGGUGAAGUCCCUUGCGGAUGGAGCUGAAAUCAGUCGAAGAUACCAGCUGGCUGCAACUGUUUAUUAAAAACACAGCACUGUGCAAACACGAAAGUGGACGUAUACGGUGUGACGCCUGCCCGGUGCCGGAAGGUUAAUUGAUGGGGUUAGCGGUAACGCGAAGCUCUUGAUCGAAGCCCCGGUAAACGGCGGCCGUAACUAUAACGGUCCUAAGGUAGCGAAAUUCCUUGUCGGGUAAGUUCCGACCUGCACGAAUGGCGUAAUGAUGGCCAGGCUGUCUCCACCCGAGACUCAGUGAAAUUGAACUCGCUGUGAAGAUGCAGUGUACCCGCGGCAAGACGGAAAGACCCCGUGAACCUUUACUAUAGCUUGACACUGAACAUUGAGCCUUGAUGUGUAGGAUAGGUGGGAGGCUUUGAAGUGUGGACGCCAGUCUGCAUGGAGCCGGCCUUGAAAUACCACCCUUUAAUGUUUGAUGUUCUAACGUUGGCCCCUGAUCGGGGUUGCGGACAGUGUCUGGUGGGUAGUUUGACUGGGGCGGUCUCCUCCUAAAGAGUAACGGAGGAGCACGAAGGUUGGCUAAUCCUGGUCGGACAUCAGGAGGUUAGUGCAAUGGCAUAAGCCAGCUUGACUGCGAGCGUGACGGCGCGAGCAGGUGCGAAAGCAGGUCAUAGUGAUCCGGUGGUUCUGAAUGGAAGGGCCAUCGCUCAACGGAUAAAAGGUACUCCGGGGAUAACAGGCUGAUACCGCCCAAGAGUUCAUAUCGACGGCGGUGUUUGGCACCUCGAUGUCGGCUCAUCACAUCCUGGGGCUGAAGUAGGUCCCAAGGGUAUGGCUGUUCGCCAUUUAAAGUGGUACGCGAGCUGGGUUUAGAACGUCGUGAGACAGUUCGGUCCCUAUCUGCCGUGGGCGCUGGAGAACUGAGGGGGGCUGCUCCUAGUACGAGAGGACCGGAGUGGACGCAUCACUGGUGUUCGGGUUGUCAUGCCAAUGGCACUGCCCGGUAGCUAAAUGCGGAAGAGAUAAGUGCUGAAAGCAUCUAAGCACGAAACUUGCCCCGAGAUGAGUUCUCCCUGACUC